UGCACAGACCGCACAGCAAGUGGGCGUAAGUGUUUGUUAUUGUCAUUUGCUGUAUUACACACAUCAAACUUUUCGGAUAAUUUUACUUUUAAGAUCUUUUCAAUACUUGGAAAUUACAGCAGAAACGUUCGGCCUGUUGCCUUCCCGUUUCCCAUUUGAUUUAAGAUUUCACUCUUACAGUCCCCAAUCAAUGGAUAGUAUAAUAAUAUUAUGUAAAAAAGGAGAUAUGUUGCAUACGUAUCUAAAGUGAAGACUUAAAAAUAGGUCACUUGGUUCACAUUUGUAGAACGCUAUCUCUUGUGCUCUCAUGCGUUUUUAUCUUCUGUUUUACUCAUCAUCAAGCACGAAUUAUAUGCGCCAUUCAACAUUAGCUUAUU